GCAAUCGCCCUUGAGAUAAUCUGAUGCUUCCAAGGAUGUUCUUCUGUAAAAUCGCUUGUAGCCCCACAUGCUCCCACGAUACUUGAGCGUAUAUGGCCCGCCCUCCAGCGCCCUAUCAAAAUGGCUAUGAACCUUGUGCUUCUCCUUCCCACUCUGAUCCACCAGAGUAAGCUCAAACAGCGCCCGCACAUCAGUCCCCUCGCUCG
rnacentral:misc_RNA from 1 species